rnacentral:rRNA from 1 species
AUCGACCUCAGAUUAGACGAGAUUACCCGCCGAAUUUAAGCAUAUAAUUAGGCGGAGGAAAAGAAAUUAACAAAGAUUUCCUUAG